CGGAGUGACUGCCUCAAAACUGCCUCCAUCUGAAUCGCUUCCUUCUUCUUCUUCUUCAUCCUUGAGCAUGAGCGGCAUACACAGUCCAGGAAGCUGAAAACUUGAAUUGCUGUAGAACAAAAGAAACAUAUCAGAGAAGCUAUCGAAAAAAACUUUCAGCUAGCAUAAAAGAAUUAUAGGAUUAACUUAGCCAAACCUUCC
rnacentral:lncRNA from 1 species